AUGCAACCGGGAAUGUGCCGCCCCGAGGGGUCCCCGGAGCGCGAGGGACGACCCGCGGCGUGCAGCCGGCGGAUGAUGGCGACGGGAGCGGGGACGUCUCCGGCUGGGAGUCGGUGUGUGCUCCUCUUCCUCCUGCUCCUCGGCAGCUGCUGCCACAUGUUGCACGGCCAAGAGCUUCACCUCCAAGCUGUGCUGCGCCUCCCUCCCUCCCUCUGUGCGUGGAUCACCAGCUUCCUGACAAGGAGUGGCUGGGGACGAUGCGUGUCAUAGACAGGGGCGGAGUCUCUCCCCUCUGCUCUCCUCGCUCUACACCAACGCUCGCACCUGCAGAAACCGGGCUGUGAGCUUGCAGAUAAACCGGCCAUCAUCAGCCUCAUCCAAGAUAGCGACAGGUCUGCAUAUCAAUGAAAGCCUGAACAGCUGGGCCAAACAACCUGGAGCUGAACACGCUCAAGUCUGUGGAGAUGACAGGGGAGUGCAGGAGGCAAAAUCCAUCCUGGACGCAGCAUCCAGCUUCUCUCUUGAAGGCCAAAACAGCCAGAUCCUGCAUCCGUUCCUCUCCACAGCCCAAGCGCUCAUUCACAGCUGACCAGUUACAACUGCUACUCUGCUUCUGUCAGAGUAUGUGUCCAUUACUUGGCCAAUGAAGAACAUGCCCAAACCUUUCAUUUCUGGGGUUAAUCGUAUUGUAGAUGGGAUAAGCACAUUAAACAUUAUCUGUAGAGGUGUGAAUGAGUGGAUUUGUUUCAGGUGCUGCGCCGAUGCAGGCUUUUAUUAACCAGAUUGGAUACAGGUACAUAUACUAAUUGCAAUAAAGUGUCUUUACUUUUCA
rnacentral:lncRNA from 1 species